AUGAACGCUGGCGGCGUGCCUAAUACAUGCAAGUCGAGCGAACAGACGAGGAGCUUGCUCCUCUGACGUUAGCGGCGGACGGGUGAGUAACACGUGGAUAACCUACCUAUAAGACUGGGAUAACUUCGGGAAACCGGAGCUAAUACCGGAUAAUAUAUUGAACCGCAUGGUUCAAUAGUGAAAGACGGUUUUGCUGUCACUUAUAGAUGGAUCCGCGCCGCAUUAGCUAGUUGGUAAGGUAACGGCUUACCAAGGCAACGAUGCGUAGCCGACCUGAGAGGGUGAUCGGCCACACUGGAACUGAUACACGGUCCAGACUCCUACGGGAGGCAGCAGUAGGGAAUCUUCCGCAAUGGGCGAAAGCCUGACGGAGCAACGCCGCGUGAGUGAUGAAGGUCUUCGGAUCGUAAAACUCUGUUAUUAGGGAAGAACAAAUGUGUAAGUAACUAUGCACGUCUUGACGGUACCUAAUCAGAAAGCCACGGCUAACUACGUG
rnacentral:rRNA from 1 species